AUGGCGGAUGCACCUCUGUACAAGCAGCGCCGCAAGUACACCAAGGAGCUCCACAAUGUCCACCUCCACGGCAAUCACAAGCUCCACGUCCUUUGCACAAGCAAGGGCAAAGACGUGGACAAGAUGCUAUCCACGUUCAGGAGGAAGCUCGGCGGAAUGCCCGUCAAACUGGUCGGCGUUGAUGUCGAGUACACGCACUACGAGAAGCCACAGCGGGCAGCAGUGCUCCAGCUAUGCGUAGAAAAAGAAUGCCUUGUCUACCACAUCUCUGCAGCUAAAGACAGGCUAAUGGAACUAGACAAAUUCCUCAUGAAUGAUGAGUACACCUUCGUCGGAUUCGCUAUUGAAGGAGAUAAAAUCAAGCUGAAGGUAUCUGGUUUGGAGAUCAACUCCGACAACUACAUUGAUAUUCAGGUGGAAUGGAGAGACCCAUACAAUAAAAAGAAGUUUGACUCUUUGGCUGAUGUUGCCGGCAGGAUGAUAGACAUUCACUACCGGGAAAUGAAGAAAAAAAUUAACCGCAAGGAGGACCAUACUCUGUAG
rnacentral:rRNA from 1 species